GACGUAGGGUGCGAGCGUUGUCCGGAUUUAUUGGGCGUAAAGGGCGCGUAGGCGGGCUUCCAAGUCCGUGGUGAAAUCCCCCGGCUCAACCGGGGAACGGCCUCGGAUACUGGCGGCCUGGAGGCGGGUAGGGGCAAGCGGAACUGUGGGUGGAGCGGUGAAAUGCGUUGAGAUCCACAGGAACUCCGGUGGCGAAGGCGGCUUGCUGGACCCGAUCUGACGCUGAGGCGCGAAAGCCAGGGGAGCGAACGGG
rnacentral:rRNA from 1 species